rnacentral:rRNA from 1 species
CCUACGGGUGGCAGCAGUGGGGAAUAUUGCACAAUGGGGGAAACCCUGAUGCAGCGACGCCGCGUGAGUGAUGAAGUAUUUCGGUAUGUAAAGCUCUAUCAGCAGGGAAGAAACCCACCCUCCGGGUUGGCUGUCGGUACUUGACUAAGAAUCCCCGGCUAACUACGUGCCAGCAGCCGCGGUAAUACGUAGGGGGCAAGCGUUAUCCGGAUUUACUGUGUGUAAAGGGAGAGUAGGUGGCAAGGCAAGUCAGCUGUGAAAUCCCCGGGCCCAACCCCGGGAGUGCAGUGGAAACUGUCUGGCUAGAGUGCAGGAGAGGCAAGUGGAAUUCCUCGUGUAGCGGUGAAAUGCAUAGAUAUUAGGAAGAACACCAGUGGCGAAGGCGGCUUACUGCACUGUAACUGACACUGAGGCUCGAAAGCGUGGGGAGCAAACAGGAUUAGAUACCCGAGUAGUC